rnacentral:lncRNA from 1 species
UAACAUAUAAGUGUAAUAAAGUGGUUGUUGAACAAAGCAUUUAUAGUGAAGUGUAAUGAAAAACAUAUAAGUGUGACAAUAUUAUGACUUAAAUAUAAAAUUAUACACGAAUAAGUAAAAUAAAACUAUUUUCUAACUUAACUAUUCAAGAUAUUUUGAAGACCACAAAUUGAAGGACAUAGAGAUUUAUCCAAAAUUAAAAGAGAAAAAUACAAUCUAAACAAUAUUCUUUGUUUACUUAUUUUAAUUUGUGACAAUCAUCUUGGAGUAUAUAGCCACAAGGAUAAGGUCGUGAAAAUGGAAUAAAAAUAAUAUAUUGUACCAAAAAUAAAAUCAAAUUAUUGGGUACCAACACAAUUACUUAACAUUUGCUCAUAAAAUUUUGCAACACAAUCUUAUGGUCACAUCUCUCAAAUGCACUCACAUACGCCUACCUUUCUUUCGAUGCUUAAUAUUUCAAAUGUCGAACAAAAUGACUUCUUAGGUGGAUAGCACAUAUCCUCUGGACAAUCAGAGUCGUAAAUACAUGUAGUAACGGCUGCGAUAAUAAAGUAAUAGAAGGAUGUUACUAAAAGGAAAUAAAAUAUUAUAUAUAAAUUAAUUAAGAAAAUUGAGAAUGAUAAAAAAAUGGAGUACUUUCAAUGUGCAUUGAAAAAACACAUAGGGAAAGAAAGAUAAUCAUAACACAAACAAACUUGACAAUAACAGUCAUAUUUUCUC